rnacentral:rRNA from 1 species
AACGAACGCUGGCGGCAUGCCUAACACAUGCAAGUCGAACGAGACCAUCGGGUCUGGUGGCGCACGGGGGCGUAACGCGUGGGAAGCUUCCGUUAGGCUCGGGAUAACUCCCUUUCGGGGGUGCUAAUACAGGAUAAUGUCCUCGGACCACAGAUUCAUCGCGCUAGGUUGGGCCCGCGUUGGUUUAGCUAGCUGGUAGGGUAAAAGCCUAUGAAGGCGUCGAUAGUUAGCUGGGUAGAGAGGCAGGGCAGCGACUCUGGCACUAAGCAACGGCCCAGAAUCCUACGCGAGGGGGCAGUGGGGAAUAUUGGACUAUCGGCGAAAGCCUGAUCCAGCAAUGCCGGGUGAGUGCCGAAGGCCUGAGGGAUGUAAAGCUCUUUUACCCGGGAUGAUAAUGACAGUACCGGGAGAAUAAGCACCGGCUAACUCCGUG